rnacentral:rRNA from 1 species
CACGAAGUUAGCCGGGGCUUCUUCUACGGUUACCGUCAUUAUCUUCACCGUUGAAAGAACUUUACAACCCUAGGGCCUUCAUCACUCACGCGGAAUGGCUGGAUCAGGCUUGCGCCCAUUGUCCAAUAUUCCCCACUGCUGCCUCCCGUAGGAGUCUGGGCCGUGUCUCAGUCCCAGUGUGGCUGAUCAUCCUCUCAGACCAGCUAUGGAUCGUCGCCUUGGUGAGCCUUUACCUCACCAACUAGCUAAUCCAACGCGGGCUCAUCCUUUGCCGAUAAAUCUUUCCCCCGAAGGGCACAUACGGUAUUAGCACAAGUUUCCCUGAGUUAUUCCGUAGCAAAAGGUAGAUUCCCACGCGUUACUCACCCGUCUGCCGCUCCCCUUGCGGGCGCUCGACUUGCAUGUGUUAAGCCUGCCGCCAGCGUUCGUUCUGAGCCAGGAUCAAACUCU